rnacentral:rRNA from 1 species
GACAGAGGUGCCGAGCGUUAGGCGGAAUCACUGGGCUUAAAGCGUGUGUAGGCGGAAGGGUAAGUACCUUGUGAAAUCCCACGGCUCAACCGUGGAACUGCUGGGUAUACUGGUUGUCUUGAGCCAGCUAGGGGCGAGCGGAACAGACGGUGGAGCGGUGAAAUGCGUAGAUAUCGUCUGGAACGCCGAAGGUGAAAACAGCUCGCUGGGGCUGCGCUGACGCUGAGACACGAAAGCCAGGGGAGCGAACGGG